GCCUUAUUAGCUCAGUGGUUAGAGCACUGGUCUCGUAAACCAGCGGUCCUGAGUUCAACUCUCUGAUAAGGCU
rnacentral:tRNA from 1 species